GGCGCCACAAGUGCUCAUCACGUUUAUUGGGCCUAAAGCGUUCGUAGCCGGCCCGACGCGUUCCCCGUGAAAUCCGGCCGCUAACGGUCGGGCGUGCGGGGAAUACGGUCGGGCUUGGGACCGGGAGAGGUUGCGAGUACUUUCGGGGUAGGGGUAAAAUCCUAUAAUCCCGAAAGGACUACCUGUGGCGAAGGCGCGCAACUAGAACGGAUCCGACGGUGAGGGACGAAAGCUGGGGGAGCAAAGCG
rnacentral:rRNA from 1 species